ACUCAAACUGUGUGACAUUUUG
rnacentral:miRNA from 1 species